rnacentral:tRNA from 1 species
GGGGCAAUAGCUCAGUGGUAGAGCUUCCGCUUCGUAUGCGGGAAGACCUGGGUUCGAUUCGCGGUUGCUUCC